rnacentral:rRNA from 1 species
GAGGAAUAUUGGUCAAUGGGCGCAAGCCUGAACCAGCCAUCCCGCGUGAAGGAAGAAGGCGCUAUGCGUUGUAAACUUCUUUUCCAGGGGGAGAAUUUUCCGGUCGUGACCGGGAUUGACGGUACUCUGGGAAUAAGCAUCGGCUAACUCCGUGCCAGCAGCCGCGGUAAUACGGAGGAUGCGAGCGUUAUCCGGAUUUAUUGGGUUUAAAGGGUGCGUAGGCGGAUCAAUAAGUCAGUGGUGAAAUUCUGCAGCUUAACUGUAGACUUGCCAUUGAUACUGUUGGUCUUGAGUAUGGUCAAGGUAGGCGGAAUGUGUAAUGUAGCGGUGAAAUGCUUAGAUAUUACACAGAACACCGAUUGCGAAGGCAGCUUGCUGGGCCAAUACUGACGCUGAUGCACGAAAGCGUGGGGAUCGAAC